rnacentral:rRNA from 1 species
UACGAAGGGGGCUAGCGUUGCUCGGAAUCACUGGGCGUAAAGCGCACGUAGGCGGAUUGCUAAGUCAGGGGUGAAAUCCUGGAGCUCAACUCCAGAACUGCCUUUGAUACUGGCGAUCUCGAGUCCGGGAGAGGUGAGUGGAACUGCGAGUGUAGAGGUGAAAUUCGUAGAUAUUCGCAAGAACACCAGUGGCGAAGGCGGCUCACUGGAUCGGUACUGACGCUGAGGUGCGAAAGCGUGGGGAGCAAACAGG